ACUCCUACGGGAGGCAGCAGUGGGGAAUAUUGGGCAAUGGGCGCAAGCCUGACCCAGCGACGCCGCGUGAGGGAAGAAGGCCUUUGGGUUGUAAACCUCUGUUGUACGGGAAGAAGACAGUGACGGUACCGUACGAG
rnacentral:rRNA from 1 species